GAGGGAGUGGGCAUGACUGUAACUGCCAGUGACUGGCUGAUUUGUCAGGCUGCUCCGACGCGAUCCUGAUGCAGUCUUCGGUUCAGAGGGCUGAGCUAGAAAUAUCAGCAACGCCGCGUUGACCUAGCUCAGGAGGAGGCGGACAGUGUGCCCCACUGACCGUGCUGAAUGAUGCCUUGCUCCAGCAGCGCCCUGGACAGCUCCAGCCCCUGCCGACGGCUGGGCACCUCUCCGUUCUGGAGCAACCAGUCGAUGAACUGGCAGCCGGGGAAAGAGCGCUCAUACAUCACCUCUUUCUCCUCCCGCAGCUGGAGGAUGGAGUCCUUGCCGCCGAUGAGGCUGUAAAGAGGCACAGAAGUCAGAUGGACCUGUCAUCUAUUUUGAAAUUUCCUGUCAGAGAGAGAGAGAGAGAGAGUGAGAAGUACCCGGCUCAAGUCAUGUCAAGUCAAGCAACAUUCACUCAC